ACGGAGCAAUGCCGCGUGCAGGAUGAAUCUCUUCGGAGUGUAAACUGCUGUCAGAGACUAGGAACUCAAUGACCAAUCUCAAAGGAAGGGCCGGCUAACUUCGUGCCAGCAGCCGCGGUAAUACGAAGGGCCCGAGCGUUAUUCGGAAUCACUGGGCUUAAAGCGUACGUAGGCUGGUAUAUAGGCAUUUUGUGAAAUCCCUCGGCUCAACCGAGGAACUGCAGGGUGAACCAUAUAUCUUGAGACAGACAGAAGUCGUCGGAACGAUUGGUGGAGUGGUGAAAUGCGUUGAUAUCAAUCGGAACGCCGAAGGAGAAGUCAGGCGACUGGGUCUGUUCUGACGCUGAGGUACGAAAGCGUGGGUAGCGAACGGGAUUAGAUACCCCGGUAGUCCACGCCGUAAACGAUGUGCACUAGGUCGAGGGCGUUCUGACGCGACUCUCGGCCGAAGCGAAAGUGUUAAGUGCACCGCCUGGGGAGUACGGUCGCAAGGCUAAAACUCAAAGGAAUUGACGGGGGCUCACACAAGCGGUGGAGCAUGUGGCUUAAUUCGAAGCAACGCGAAGAACCUUAUCCUAGGUUUGACAUACACGGAUUAGCUCUAAGAAACUAGAGUGACACCUUUUAGGUGGAACGUGAACAGGUGCUGCAUGGCUGUCGUCAGCUCGUGCUGUGAAGUGUCGGGUUAAGUCCCUUAACGAGCGCAACCCUUAUCGUUAGUUGCUAACAGGUAAUGCUGAGGACUCUAGCGAGACUGCCGGUGUUA
rnacentral:rRNA from 1 species